AACGAUGUAGUUUAAUAAAAGAAUAUUAGGUUUGCGUCUUAAAGGUAGAGUUUUCUUUUCGUUA
rnacentral:tRNA from 1 species